rnacentral:rRNA from 1 species
AUAUCAGUCAUGCAUAGCAUAUCAAUAAGCGAGGAAAAGAAACUAACAAGGAUUCCCUUAGUAACGGCGAGUGAAGCGGGAAGAGCUCAAAUUUGAAAUCUUCAAGGUUUUACCUUGACGAAUUGUAGUUUAAAGAAGUGUUUUCUGUUGAAGUUUUGGUAAAAGUUCUUUGGAAUAGGACAUCAUAGAGGGUGAGAAUCCCGUAUUUGACCAUUACUUUCAGCUUUGUGAUACACUUUCAAAGAGUCGGAUUGUUUGGGAAUGCAGUCCAAAAUGGGUGGUAAAUUUCAUCUAAAGCUAAAUAUUGGCGAGAGACCGAUAGCGAACAAGUACCGUGAGGGAAAGAUGAAAGGAACUUUGAAAAGAGAGUUAAACAGUACGUGAAAUUGUCAAAAGGGAAGCGUUUGACACCAGUGUUGUUUUCUCGAAAAUCAAUUAAAAAGAGUUGGAUUUUGUGUUGUAUUGACUUUAUCAGCUUUCUUCACUCUUUUCCAGCUUUUUUUAAUGCACUUUUCGUUUAACAAGUCAACAUCAGUUUCUUUUGUUGUAAAAAGGUCAUUGGAAGGUGGCUUUCUCUUCGGAGAAAGUGUUUAUAGCCUUUGACUCAUGCAAUCGGAGAGACUGAGGUCUGCAGCGUAGAUCCUUCGGGGUUAGAUACAUUUGUGCUAAGUUAUAGCUUUUCAUAGACAACUUGUUGACUAUGUUUAGUCUUGUAGCUUACUCGCUUAUGCUAUUUUACCUACGCUUAGGAUGUUGAACUCUAUCACACACAG